AUACUUACCUGACGCGAGAGGCACCUUGAUCAACUAGGAGGUCCCUCUCAGGAUGAGGCCCUUUCAUUGCACUUCGACUGGGUUGACUCCUGCGAUUACCCCUAAUGUGGGUAACUCGAGCGUAUAAUUUCUGGUAGUGGGGACCUGCGUUCGCGCUCGUCCCCU
rnacentral:snRNA from 1 species